rnacentral:rRNA from 1 species
CCUACGGGGGGCAGCAGUGGGGAAUAUUGCGCAAUGGGCGAAAGCCUGACGCAGCGACGCCGCGUGAGGGAUGAAGGUCUUCGGAUCGUAAACCUCUGUCAGCAGGGAAGAACGGGCACUGUGCUAAUCAGCAGUGAAUUGACGGUACCUGCAAAGGAAGCAGCGGCUAACUCCGUGCCAGCCGCCGCGGUAAUACGGAGGGUGCGGGCGUUAAUCGGAAUUACUGGGCGUAAAGCGCUCGUAGGCGGUAUGUCAAGUCAAGGGUGAAAUCCCCGCGCUCAACGUGGGAACUGCCUUUGAAACUGGCAAACUGGAGUGUGUGAGAGGAUAGUGGAAUUCCAGGUGUAGGAGUGAAAUCCGUAGAUAUCUGGAGGAACAUCAGUGGCGAAGGCGACUAUCUGGCACAUAACUGACGCUGAGGAGCGAAAGCGUGGGUAGCAAACAGGAUUAGAUACCCGAGUAGUC